rnacentral:rRNA from 1 species
UACGGGGGGGGCAAGCGUUGUUCGGAAUUACUGGGCGUAAAGGGCUCGUAGGCGGCCAACUAAGUCCGACGUGAAAUCCCAAGGCUUAACCUUGGAACUGCGUCGGAUACUGGAUGGCUUGAAUUCGGGAGAGGGAUGCAGAAUUCCAGGUGUAGCGGUGAAAUGCGUAGAUAUCUGGAGGAAUACCGGUGGCGAAGGCGGCAGUCCUGGACCGACAUUGACGCUGAUGAGCGAAA